AACAGUUGGCAACUUACUCUUCAAAUUUCAAAGCUAUUCUAUAAACGAAAAAGACUUCCAAAGUUAAAAGGAGGCCAGCAACUUUUCCAUAACGCAGAGCUGUAGAAAGGAAACAAAGAGUAGAACCGUUGUACAUUGGGUUAUCGUUGACAUUAAAUGGGAAACCAGAAACACGCUCUGGAAGCAGAAAUCCAAAGUAAUCACCAAGAUAUGUACCAACAAGUCCUAGCUUAUACAUACUCGAUAAGACAAGGACGCUGCCAAAACAAAAAAUGAGCUUAGCUAUACCCUGCACAAGAGGGUUCAUGAAGAUACCUAGCGUAGGUUGUUGUUUUAAAGCAUUCUGAUAAAUUAAGUCACGAACUAUUCCGGCA